rnacentral:rRNA from 1 species
GAUGAACGCUGGCGGCGUGCUUAACACAUGCAAGUCGAACGGUGAAGCAGGAGCUUGCUCUUGUGGAUCAGUGGCGAACGGGUGAGUAACAUGUGAGCAACCUGCCCCUGACUCUGGGAUAAGCGCUGGAAACGGCGUCUAAUACUGGAUAUGUGAUGUGACCGCAUGGUCUGCAUCUGGAAAGAAUUUCGGUUGGGGAUGGGCUCGCGGCCUAUCAGCUUGUUGGUGAGGUAAUGGCUCACCAAGGCGUCGACGGGUAGCCGGCCUGAGAGGGUGACCGGCCACACUGAGACUGAGACACGGCCCAGACUCCUACGGGAGGCAGCAGUGGGGAAUAUUGCACAAUGGGCGGAAGCCUGAUGCAGCAACGCCGCGUGAGGGAUGACGGACUUCGGGUUGUAAACCUCUUUUAGCAGGGAAGAAGCGAAAGUGACGGUACCUGCAGAAAAAGCACCGGCUAACUACGUGCCAGCAGCCGCCGCCG